AUAUUCAUCUUAGAUAAGACACGAAAAACUCCUUUGAACCCGCUGGCAUAACGUUUUUGCGUGCCCUUACGGCAUCAGAAACCAAAUCCGAUAUGUUGGAUUGUGGAAUGCUUUUACCUUCAAUCUUAACCUCUCCCGUAUUAUCCCACGUAACAAGAUCGGGACGUGUCUUUAACCGGUUUAAUUAAAAUGGCUGAUGCUCUUUCUCGCAUUCUCUUCGGAACCGUUUCCACAACCAUUGCAUCCGGUAACAUAUUACUU